AUAUCUCUCCGUACGGGAAGGAUGAGAAGCUUCGACUAAGGUUCGAUUCGAGCGAAAGCGAGAAAGCGUUGCCAAC
rnacentral:sRNA from 1 species